CACAAUUCAUCAUUGCACCCAAUCUCCAGUCGUUUUUUCUCUCACAACCGCAAAGCCAAACACCAAGCUCCACACACAGAUAUGGACAACAUCUGCGGAAAGGAUCUUUUCUCGCCAAAUAUGGUCCCCCUCAACAUGAUACGCCAAUCCGUGCUGACGGUGACACCCAAGCGGAGGACGACGGCGGAAAGGACCUUUGCUCGCCAAAGAUGCAUGGUUCCCCUCGAUCCCUAUACGUCUCCACUUUUGCAAAUUGUAUGUUUUUCCUUUUUCCUUUAAUUUAAGGGUUUGUCACGAUGAAUAUCUACAAUUUAAUUACGUGGGCUUUAAAUUUUAUGUGUAUGAAACAUUAUCUUUUUGCAAUGAUAAUUAUUUACUUUUUGGUUCAUGUAGUGGUAGGGGAGGACGGUGAUGAUAUAUUAGAGCAAACUGUUUCCAUGGAAUUAUUUGAUGUCCAGUUUAUAUGAUGAUGAUUAUUAAAAUAUGGUUUUAAAAAAAUACUCACGUGCUCUGUUUGCUUCCCCCUUUUUUUUUUUUUUUUGUCCAUGAAUGAGGAUGAACGAUGAUGAUGAUGAUGAGGAAUCUCUAUGAAAGUAGUUUAGCCAUUCCCUCUAGUGUUAAAGAGUUGAUUAAUCUUCACUGAUAGUGAGUUGGUCGUAGUUUUUUCUUGCCCUAAGAAGAAAAUUCAUGAAUCUGCCACUGUUUAGUGAAAUAUCCUAAAUCAAUUGAUUUGGAAAUACUUUUAGAGGAAAAUUACUUUUGAGUUUGUUGCUCAAUUUUGGCAUUAUAUUGAUCUAUUUGUUACUAUUCAACUGCCUUGUUGGGUUUUCACAUCAUCACUUUUUUUAUAUUGGUAUUUGACGAUGUGAUUGCAAACAGGUAGCAAGGCUGAUCUUGAUUAUAUUCCUUUCGGCUGGGGCCCUCCUGUUCUUCCUGGUAUGCUUUUGAUUUUAGAGACAGAAGAAAAAAAAACCUAUAGAUAGCCUCCUCCCUCCUCCCACCUUUUUCCAACUCCCUUCCUCUCCUUCCACACUCAGGCAUUUUCAUUCAACCCUUGCAUAUGCUGCUUCUCUAUGUUUCAUCAUAGCUUUCAUUUUUUCUCUUCUUAAUUAUGACGUAAUAUCUAUAUAUUUGUGCACAGGUGAAUGUUUGUUUUGUUUAAAGGUGGAUGAGCAUCCUCCUUCAGUCUGCCCUUAUAGGAAACGUGUCCCAAAGAAUGCAACAGUUGGCAGUGGUGGCGAUAUAGUUUGUUCGGUUUGUCAUAGGUUCUUUCGAGGCAGCUGUUGUGGCCAAGAUGCUUUCAAGGUGUGUUGUAUUUGUGGGAAGAUUGGUGACCACUGGUCUACAGUGUGCCCAAGUCCACUCCGCCAGGAGAAAGAUAUUUCUUUUAAUAAUGACCUUCAUAGCUAUUAUCCGGUUAAUAAAGAAAGUUUGGCCCCUCAAUAAGGUCUGAGGUUUGCUUUGUUUUCGGGUUUGUGAGAACUUUUGUCAGUUGAAAUAGUAGAGAACGGAGAGUUUCUGGGACUCUAAAUUCAAAGCAAAUUUUUUUUAAAACAUUAUAUGUUAAUUACUAUGUAACGAAUAUGUAUAAGCUCUAAUAAUGAGCAAGAGAUUUAUGUUUGCA
rnacentral:lncRNA from 1 species